AACCUAGCACACCUGCGGUGUGUACCUGCGGAGGGAUCAUUACCUAGAGUUGUAGGCUUUGCCUGCUAUCUCUUACCCAUGUCUUUUGAGUACCUUACGUUUCCUCGGUGGGCUCGCCCACCGAUUGGACAAAUUUAAACCCUUUGCAGUUGAAAUCAGCGUCUGAAAAAACUUAAUAGUUACAACUUUCAGCAAUGGAUCU
rnacentral:misc_RNA from 1 species